rnacentral:rRNA from 1 species
AACGAACGCUGGCGGCAUGCCUAACACAUGCAAGUCGAACGAGACCUUCGGGUAUAGUGGCGCACGGGUGCGUAACGCGUGGGAACCUGCCCUUAGGUUCGGAAUAACUCCCCGAAAGGGGUGCUAAUACCGGAUAAUGUCUUCGGCCCAAAGAUUUAUCGCCUUUGGAUGGGCCCGCGUUGGAUUAGCUAGUUGGUAGGGUAAAAGCCUACCAAGGCGACGAUCCAUAGCUGGUCUGAGAGGAUGAUCAGCCACACUGGGACUGAGACACGGCCCAGACUCCUACGGGAGGCAGCAGUGGGGAAUAUUGGACAAUGGGCGAAAGCCUGAUCCAGCAAUGCCGCGUGAGUGAUGAAGGCCUUAGGGUUGUAAAGCUCUUUUACCCGGGAUGAUAAUGACAGUACCGGGAGAAUAAGCCCCGGCUAACUCCGUG